rnacentral:misc_RNA from 1 species
GAAAUGCGAUAAGUAAUGUGAAUUGCAGAAUUCAGUGAAUCAUCGAAUCUUUGAACGCACCUUGCGCUCCUUGGUAUUCCUUGGAGCAUGCCUGUUUGAGUAUCAUGAAAUCUUCAAAGUAAAUCUUUUGUUAACUCAAUUGGUUUCUACUUUGGUAUUGGAGGUCUUUGCAGCUUCACACCUGCUCCUCUUUGUUCAUUAGCUGGAUCUCAGUGUUAUGCUUGGUUCCACUCGGCGUGAUAAGUUAUCUAUCGCUGAGGACACUGUGAAAGGUGGCCAAGGUAAAUGCAGAUGAACCGCUUCUACUAGUCCAUUGACUUGGACAAUACUUUUAUGAUCUGAUCUCAAAUCAGGUAGGACUACCCGCUGAACUUAAGC